rnacentral:rRNA from 1 species
UUAAAUGGCCGCGGUAUUUUGACCGUGCUAAGGUAGCAUAAUCAUUAGUUUUUUAAUUGAAAGCUAGAAUGAAGGGUUUGAUGAAAAAUUGACUGUCUCUAUUUUAAUUAUGAAUUUUAUUUUUAAGUUAAAAAGCUUAAAUAUAAUUAUAAGACGAGAAGACCCUAUAGAGUUUUAUAAAUGUAAGAUAAUUUUUAAUUUAGAAUUUAAUUUAUAAUUAUUUUAUAUUUAUUUAAUUGGGGUGAUUAAAAAAUUUAAUAAACUUUUUUUUUAUUUUAAUAUUUUAAAUAAAUUAUUGAUCCGAUAGUAUCGAUUAUAAGAUAAAGUUACCUUAGGGAUAACAGCGUAAUUUUAUUGGAGAGUU